rfam:Brucella melitensis biovar Abortus 2308 chromosome II, complete sequence, strain 2308
CCGUAAUACCGUCAUGACGGUUCCCCGACCGAGAGCGAAGGGGAUUAAUAGGGAACACGGUGAGGACGACCCAUCAAGGGGCCGAGACCGUGGCUGCCCCCGCAACUGUAAGCGGAUUGCCGUUCAUCCUCGUGACGCCGAAAGCGUCAUGCCACUGUGCCCACGGCACGGGAAGGCAGAUGGACGGCGAUUAUCCGCAAGCCAGGAGACCUGCCGUCUUACGUAGUCCAUU